GACGAACGCUGGCGGCGUGCUUAACACAUGCAAGUCGAACGGAAAGGCCCUGCUUUUGUGGGGUGCUCGAGUGGCGAACGGGUGAGUAACACGUGAGUAACCUGCCCUUGACUUUGGGAUAACUUCAGGAAACUGGGGCUAAUACCGGAUAGGAGCUCCUGCUGCAUGGUGGGGGUUGGAAAGUUUCGGCGGUUGGGGAUGGACUCGCGGCUUAUCAGCUUGUUGGUGGGGUAGUGGCUUACCAAGGCUUUGACGGGUAGCCGGCCUGAGAGGGUGACCGGCCACAAUGGGACUGCGAUACGGCCCAGACUACUACGGGACGCAGCAGUGGGGAAUAUUGCACAAUGGGCGGAAGCCUGAUGUAGCAACGCCGCGUGCGGGAUGACGGCCUUCGGGUUGUAAACCGCUUUCGCCGGUGACGAAGCGUGAGUGACGGUAAUGGGUAAAGAAGCACCGGCUAACUACGUG
rnacentral:rRNA from 1 species